AAACUUGGAAGUAAAUAUUAAUAAGUUUAAAUGUUCUAUACAGGUAUCACUUUGACUGAAACUAUUAGUGUGAAAAUAGUUAGUUAAGAUAAUCCAGCGCCGCGGGUACUGCGAUGAUAAACCUCAGGAGUUCAAUCAAUCCUGGAAUCAGUACAGUGUGGGAUUUGGAUCUCUGAACGAUGAUUUUUGGCUUGGAAACGACAAAAUAUUUGCCUUAACAAACCACAAGGAGGUGGAGCUUAGGGUGGAUUUGGAGGAUUUCUCAGGGA